GGUUCGUGGCUCCGUGGUAGAGCACUCACCUAGUACAUGUGAGGCCCUGGGUUCGAUCCUCAGCACCA
rnacentral:tRNA from 1 species